CCCAUACCCCAUACCCCAUAUCCCAUACCCUAUAUCCCAUACCCCACCCCCCACCCCCGCACCCCCCCGCGCCCCACCCGUGUAGGAUCGCGGCUCCCCUCUCCGGUUUCUCCCCUUUCUGAUUCAGCGCCGCACUUCGCAACUUCCGCCCGGCCGAUGGGGCCGCCCCGACCCCGCCCUAUAAACACCGACCCCGCCCUAUAAACACCGCCCCGGCCCCGUCAAUAGGGGCCCGGCCCUAUAAACACCGACCCGACCCUAUAAAUACGGAGCGAACCCCAUCGGGACAGAGCACUGCGGGGCCGCUCCAGUGCGACCCCAUCAAUCUGGACCGGACCCUACAAAUACGGAGCCGACCCUAUAAAUACGGACUGAGCCCUAUAGAUACGGACUGAACCCUAUAAAUACGGAGCAAACCCCAUCAGUACGGAGCGCUGCGGGGCUGCCCCGACGCGACCUGACCCUAUAAAUAUGGAGUGAACCCCAUCAAUCCAGACCCGACCCUACAAAUACGGAGCGAACCCCAUCAGGACAGAGCACUGCGGGGCCGCCCCGACGCGACCCGACCCUAUAAAUCCGGACCGGACCCUAUAAAUACGGACUGAACCCUAUGAAUCCGGACCCGACCCUAUAAAUACGGAGCCGACCCUAUAAAUACGGAGCAAACCCCAUUGGGACGGAGCGCUGCGGGGCCACCCCGACCCGACCCGACCCUAUAAAUCUGGACCGGACCCUAUAAAUACGGAGCCGACCCUAUAAAUACGGAGCGAACCCCAUUGGGACGGAGCGCUGCGGGGCCGCUCCGACCCGACCCUAUAAAUCUGGACCGGACCCUACAAAUACGGAGUCGACCCUAUAAAUACGGAGCGAACCCCAUUGGUACGGAGUGCUGCGGGGCUGUCCCGACCCGACCCAACCCUAUAAAUCCAGACCAGAACCUAUAAAUACAGACCCGACCCUAUAAAUACGGAGUGAACCUUAUAAAUACGGACCAGACCCCAUCAAUCCGGACCCGACCCUAUAAAUCCGGACCUGACCCUAUAAAUACAGAGCCGACCCUAUAAAUACGGAGCAGAUCCUAUAAAUACGGAGCAAACCCCAUCAGCACGGAGCGCUGCGGGGCGCUGAGCCGACCCUAUAAAUACAGACUGCUGAGGGGCUGCCCCGACCCCAUAAAUCCGGACCCGACCCCAUAAAUCCGGACCCGACCCCAUAAACCCAGAGCUCUGUCGGACCCGGGAACGGUGUGAUGGAGCGCCGCCCUUCGGGCUCCGUGGAGGAGCGCGGAGCACUGCUGGAUGUGGGGCCGCCCCACAGCGAUGGGGACAGCGACGGCUCCGAGUGGGAGUGGGAGUGGGAGGAGCACGAAGCCCCGGACCGGCUGUACGCGCACUGUUUGGCUCACAGCCCAAUACCCCAUUAAUUAAUUACUGUUAAUUGCCGUUAAUUGCAGCCCCGGACCGGCUGUACGCGCACUGUUUGGAUCACACCCCAUUAAUUACCGCUAAUUACCGUUAAUUGCCGUUAAUUGCAGCCCCGGACCGGCUGUACGCGCACUGUUUGGCUCACAUGCCGUUAAUUACUGUUAAUUACCGUUAAUUACCGUUAAUUGCAGCCCCGGUCCGGCUGUACGCGCACUGUUUGGCUCACAGCCCAAUACCCCAUUAAUUAAUUACCGUUAAUUACCGCUAAUUGCAGCCCCGGACCGUCUCUACGCGCACUGUUUGGCUCACAGCCCAAUACCCCAUUAAUUAAUUACCGUUAAUUACCGUUAAUUGCAGCCCCGGACCGUCUGUACGCGCACUGUUUGGCUCACACCCCAUUAAUUACCGCUAAUUACCGCUAAUUACCGUUAAUUAAUUGCAGCCCCGGACCGUCUCUACGCGCACUGUUUGGCUCACAGCCCAAUACCCCAUUAAUUACCGUUAAUUACCGUUAAUUACCGUUAAUUGCAGCCCCGGACCGUCUCUACGCGCACUGUUUGGCUCACAGCCCAAUACCCCAUUAAUUACUGUUAAUUAAUUACCGUUAAUUAAUUGCAGCCCCGGACCGUCUCUACGCGCACUGUUUGGCUCACACGCCGUUAAUCCGUUAAUUAAUUACUGUUAAUUACCGUUAAUUGCAGCCCCGGACCGUCUGUACGCGCACUGUUUGGCUCACAUGCCGUUAAUUACCGUUAAUUACUGUUAAUUGCCGUUAAUUGCAGCCCCGGACCGGCUGUACGCGCACUGUUUGGCGCGCACCGUUUGCGCGGCCGCCGCUCCGCUCACGGUGGGGAUUUUCGCUCCGUGCGCCCAUCGGCUGAGCGCCGUUCUGCGGCACCUCGAAGCCUCCCUGCUGUCGCACGCGGCCGCCCUGCAGCGCCGCUCCGCUCUGCGCGGCCGCCCCCCGCCCCGUCCGGCGCGCGGUUGGGCGCUGCUCCACGCCCUCCUCUUCCUGUCCUUCUGCCGCGCGGUCCACCGCCGC
ensembl:lncRNA